AUCCGCCGCCGCGGUAAUACCGGCAGCUCGAGUAAUGUCCAAUAUUAUUGGGCCUAAAGCGUCCGUAGCUGGCCGAACAAGUCCGUCGGGAAAUCCACGUGCUUAACACGUGGGCGACCGGCGGAAACUGUUCGGCUUGGGGCCGGAGGACCCGAGGGGUACGUCCGGGGUAGGAGUGAAAUCCUGUAAUCCUGGACGGACCGCCGGUGGCGAAAGCGCCUCGGGAAGACGGACCCGACAGUGAGGGACGAAAGCGCGGGUCUCAAACCGGAUUAGAAACCCUGGUAGUCC
rnacentral:rRNA from 1 species